rnacentral:tRNA from 1 species
GGGGUUGUGGCUCAGUGGUAGAGUGCUUGCCUAGCACGUGUGAGGCACUGGGUUCAAUUCUCAGCACCA